GAUGAAGAGAGAGGAUGUGAGGACAGAGGAAGGACAAAGAGCUCAGAUUUACAGCGAGCACCCUGGAGGCUGCUGGCCUGUCUGCAGCAGCACAGUGCAGGAAGGGGAUCAAUAUCUUACCGGGCUAAUGCAACACAACAGCAGAGUGGAUGUCACAGUGACAAUUCUUAACAGUUUUACCAUGCCUACAUUCAUUCAAACACAAGAGCAGUGACAGUGGCAAUGCACAACAAACAUAUCUUUUGGUUUCCAUGUAGUGGACUCAAAAUAAUUGAAGAAUUCCUCUUGUUUUGUUGUUGCCAUUAAUACGUUUUUUAUUUGUCAUUUUAGGAGCUUUAUUUCUAGUCCUUUUCCCAUUACCUUCACAACUUGAUAAUUAUACCUCUCUUCAACACCAUUGCACCAGAUAAUCCAUGACAGUAUAAAGCUCUUCAUUCUCCAGAAUUCUCUAGAAACCAGCUUUUAAAUGACUAUAUGAUGAGUUCAUACUGAGCUGUCAUCACAACAAAAGAUAAUAUGGAGAUCGGUCACCCAGUUCCUCAAGUGGACUGAGUAAUAGAUAAAUACCCUAUACUUUUUAUGUAUUUACUCGUUGGAUAAAUGGUGGUUCAAAUGUAAGUGAUACCACUGUGAACACUAGAGUGUGGUGUUACAGUGGUUUUUGUUGUGUUUGACAUUAUUAGAUGUCAAUUAGACCAUAAAGAUGUAAAUAUAUUAUUCUUGAUAAAGCGAUUUGGAACAUUUAUUUAUACACUAAACUGAUCAGAUUAAAAUUGCGUACUGUUUUUGGUGCAUGGUCUUACCAGGUGCAGCAGUGAACAUUAGCUCCCUCUAGAGGCUGACAGCAGAACAGCAGGCAGCACGGAGGCAGAGGAGAGAACUGCAGCAGCUCUUCAUUUAUUCUCAGUCAGAAGUGUGCCUGCCAAGUCUCCGGAGAAAUGUCUCAAUGCUGCUGCAUACCAUGGAUGCAUGCAGGGAAACUGACCCUCCAGGGCUCUAACAGGCGCAGAAACAUCAGAUCCAGCCGGCAGAUGCGAGUGACACCGAGCAAUCCGUGAGAGGAGGGUAAUUGGAGAUCUCUGGGCUUAUUCUGAGCAUGCAGGGAAACACACCGAUCGAGUCCUGAAGAAGGAACACGAGUGGAGCUGCUGAGUCUCUGUGCAACACCAAUGGUGAUAGGGGCUCUGCAAAGCGCUGUGGGUAAUAUGGGGAAACAUCCAGUCAGGACGCCGGUGGUGCUGUUUGCAGCCUUUAUUUGGACACAGCAGGGUCUCGGGGGGCUGCAGAGGAGAGAGGGGCAGAGGGAGGGAAACGUGACACUAAAAUAACAACUACAGAGUGGUAAACAUGUCACUGUUGUGUACAUAUUUGAGCAAGGUGUAGCUUCAACGGUGAUAAAAUUGUAAUGCACUCUUCAGUCUGCAUGUUACGUAAGCUGUACUGUUUUUGAGUCAGACAUGACAGGUGACACCAGACGAGACAUGGAAGACAAGGCAAUACAAAAGAAGGGGCACAGAGGAAAGCCUGAGGAGGAAUUAAAGAAGAGGAAGUAAAGAUACAGGGUAAUGAUGGUGGUCAUUAUAGGAUAGUUAGACCUCACUCUGGAGUUAUUUGCAUUACACUCAGUUUUUAUACACAUGAGCACAUGCACUAACAGGACCACAUGCAAUGUAGGGGAGAGGUGGCAGAGCGAAAGGGCUGCCAUUCAUGAACUACCAGUCCACCAGUUGUAUUUUGGUCCGGUCAGGAGGAGCCUAGUCCAUACAGACUGAGCUACAGUACUGCCGCCCAAAACAUUACAUUUUUAAAGAGGUUUUAGGAGUAGCUUGUUAAAUGUUUUAAGAUUUUUUACAAGGACAUAAGGUUAUCUAGGGAACUGUUUUCAAGGCUUUACAUUUAAUGUAAUUAAAGGCUUAGUAUUUUACUUUUUUAAAUAAAUACAAACGUAAUCGCACACCCGAAAAUAUAAAUUAAGUAACAAAAACAACAGAAGUUAUACAUGCAGAAAUACUGUACACACACCUAAAGGGGCAGCGUGUAUCACAAAGGGUAGAAUAUGUUUGUUUUUUUGCCAUAUUAAUUUCAAUUACAACCAAUAAUCACUUUACAAAUCAAUGCACCUAACACACACACACCCUGAGGGAUGGACACAUCCUCUGGUUGUGAAUAGAGGGACUAAUUUGUUGAGCAACCGUGAACUCCCUUUGAAAGGAGAGGGGACUUUUCGCAUAGGCGGAAGAUUACAUCUCCUUAGAAGUGUUUGCUGACAAAGACCCUUUAAUAUGAUGACACGAACAUGUAAUCCAUCUCGGAUCACUGGUGGGAUAUUUAUGAGCCUCUGUUGACAGCAGUACACCUGCUCUUCCUUAGGCCAGACCUGGGAACUCUGCCCGUCUGAACUAGCACCGCUGCUGCCAAAAGCACCGCCAGAUUGGGGGAUGUGUGAGUCUGUAAAGAAAGGGGGAGAGUGUGUGUUUGUAGCACACAGACAGAGACAGGAGGAGAGACUAAUGUGUGUAUGUAAGGGGGAGUUUGGAUAGGUGGAAGUAAGUCUAUCUUUAAUUAUUUCCAAGUGCUACUGUAUAAGAGCGGGAUUAGGGAAAGUCAUUUGUUACUCCAUCAUUCACCAUAUACAAUCCCUUCCACACUGAGGGAGAAAUGGAUAUUGUGCAAAGCAUAGUUGGCAGAACAAGAGCCUGCUGAAAGACAAAAGUGUACAUGUUGGCAUUCAAUGGUGCGCUCUGUUGCAUUAAUGGGAGAAAGAAAUGAGUUUUUUUCAGAGGUUUAAAAGGCAUUCAGCAAAGGUAUUUGUAUUUGGAAUCAGAGAGAAUAUCCGUUUUUAUAAUUAUGCAGCCAUUCAUUAACAAAUUGAUCAAAUUGUACAGUGAAAACUUCAAUCGAGACACAAUGUGUGUGAUUUUCUUAAAAGAACAAUGUUUAAACGUAUUCCAAUCCUCCCAAUACUCACUUACGACCCACUAGAGGCGUGCGUCUGUAACUGCAUGACCCCUUCACCUAUUUCUCUCUUGGGAACUUUUCUGGCCGUCAACCUCUAAACCAUCGCGACCAGGUGCCAGAUUAUAAGCGUGCAUCGGAUAGUAAGCUUUGACAACGGUGCAAGAAACACAUAUAAAGCGAGGCGAUGUCACAUUAAACGCUAAGCACACAAAGAUGGUUCCAAAACAGACGUGAGUGAAUAUCGGGUUUGGCUUUCGCUCGCUGGAGAGCUCCACCCCCCCGCUGAGCCGAGAGGACGAGCCAACUCUAAAUGUGUGUUUACAAAAUCUACUCCGUGUCCCCUUAAAGCUCUCAUCAGCAUUGGUUUUCUUUCAGCUGUGGCAUUGUGUAAGAAACACAAGGAAUACACAUGAAUGCACAUUUCAUAUACUUAGAUAAAC